rnacentral:lncRNA from 1 species
CCAACUAUCAACUUUUUCAUACUUUUGCUAAAAACAUUUAUUAUUUGCUAACCUGCUUAAAAUGCUGCGGUCAGGUGGUUCUGUUGUGCCGUCAUGCCGGUGCCGUUGUGCCAUUGCAAUGCUCUACUCUGCCCUCUCUCACAAUUUAUUAAGUUUCCAACACAUAUGCAUAGAAAUUUCAAUCAAAGGUGACUGAAAUUGAAUUAAAUAAGAAAACUAAGAUUUGUUAACAUUGCUAAAUAAUAGAAAGAAUGAGCUUACCAGAAAAUAUAUUGUCAUAACUCCCACAUGUAUUUCUGGAAGUGUUUGUGCAACAUUUACAACCAUAAGCUUUCUUGCUUAACAAAUUCCCAAAUCAUAUAUGACUACAUUAUUCAUUAAUUAUAUUAACACAUAUAUAAAUAACCAUUUACGAUAAUGGGGAGAAACAAUAAUCAAAUUAUACCUGGAAAUUGAAUAACCCAUUCAUCGAAUAGAUCACCUGGACUCCAAGUUGGAUAAACUUCAAUCAAAUUCAAGGAAACUAUAGGUUGAAGCUUUCACCCAUGUCUGGAAAUCAAUAUUGAUAUUAGAGAAGUGAAAGUAUAAAAAAACUUUAUUUAGUCACCAAACAACUCUAAUAGUAACAAUUUUCUUGGGCUAUUCACGGAACACCUGUAUUAAACCCUCGUUUAUUCUAUGACAGCAAACAUGCUCCCAAAUUUAAAAAAAAAAAAUCCAAAUUCCUUCACCAGUAUUAUUCCACCAUUAAAUCUAAUUUGUAGAUAAACUACCAACAUAAUAUGUAUCGGUAAUUAAUAGCAUCGCAAUGAACAUGAUAUGAUUAAGAACCCUAAAUAAUUUUCAAAUUAUAUAACCCCCGAUUAAUUUUGAAAACAAAUCUAAUUUAGGGCUUUUACAACAAAAACCCGAAUGAAGAACUUAAAUGGCAAGAGAUAGAUCUUACUCAAAGCGAUUCAGUGCCAGGUGGUGGCGGAGGCGAGAUAAAGAAGUCGGAAUCGGCUGCUUCGUCGUAGUUAUUGGAGCGAGAGUGAGUGAGAGGAGAAGGGAGAGUGGGGAGAGAGG